rnacentral:tRNA from 1 species
UUUUCAGGGAGACCCGGUGAAAAAAUCAGUACCCAAAUAGAUARCUGAUUGAUAUCACCAAUCCCAGGUCGUGCAAGGAAGAAGUAGAUUGGCUUUCAAACUGAUUUYGGUUCGGGAAAUGGGCUAUUAGCUCAGGUGGUUAGAGCGCACCCCUGAUAAGGGUGAGGUCCCUGGUUCGAGUCCAGGAUGGCCCACCUGUUCCAUUCAGGAAGAGGGGGUAUAGCUCAGCUGGUAGAGCGCUGCCUUUGCAAGGCAGAUGUCAGCGGUUCGAGUCCGCUUACCUCCAUACUUCCCCAGUUAAGGAGUUAGGAGUGGCGGCAAAAGCGAAUAGCUAGAAGCCAACCGAAAAAAAGCAUUCAGCACCUGUACUUUUUAAUUGAAAAAGUCAGAAUGCUGAACGUGAAGUUCAGUCAGAACCUUGAAAACUGCAUAGCGAGAGAAAAAGUCAAUUUAGUAAGAACAAUGCCAAAAAAAAGGCGUUUGUGUCUUACACAGACAAAAGUAUAGAU